rnacentral:rRNA from 1 species
UUGGAGGGCAAGUCUGGUGCCAGCAGCCGCGGUAAUUCCAGCUCCAAUAGCGUAUAUUAAAGUUGUUGUGGUUAAAAAGCUCGUAGUUGAACCUUGGGCCUGGCUGGCCGGUCCGCCUCACCGCGUGUACUGGUCCGGCCGGGCCUUUCCCUCUGUGGAACCCCAUGCCCUUCACUGGGUGUGGCGGGGAAACGGGACUUUUACUGUGAAAAAAUUAGAGUGCUCCAGGCAGGCCUAUGCUCGAAUACAUUAGCAUGGAAUAAUAGAAUAGGACGUGUGG